GACAAUACUCCAGUGACUAUACACAAACACACACACACAAAUGGAGAAGAGAGGCCACAAUGGUGGGGGACAGGUGGGUGAAACCUGGGAGGACUGGGAAGUAAGGAUGAUCAGGGUAUGUGAAAUUCCCAAUGAAAAAUUAUGUUUUAAAAGUGGAAACAAAUAAAAAUGAAGUGCAAGAAACAAAUGAAAAAAAGUUUUCCCCACUAACAACACCUCUAUGUGAAGAAUUUCCUAUAAUGUAAUAAAAAAAUCGAGGCCAGGUUAUACACAUAUGUAUACAUAUAAACAUACAUAUAUAUAUAUAUGAUAUUUGAUUCUCAUUUUUUUCACCUUUGAAUAAGAAUUUGUUAAUUAUAUAAAANNNNNNNNNNNUAAUGAGUUCCUUAUGAUGUGGUCAUGGGUGCACACAACAUGUUCUGACGACACUUACUAUCACCCUGGCUUCUUUGCCCCCCACCCCCCUCCCCUAUUUCUCUUCACAAAUAGCCCAUCUUCUACUGUGGUUAAAAGAGGUUUGUUUUGUUUGUGGUUUUGAAGGACGAUCCAAAAAAAGUGGACUCCUGGCUUGGUCUCUGGCAUAGAGCUCAAGCAGACAGCAUCCUAGGGAAAGAAGCACGUGAGAGGGGAAGAACACAUAGCAAGACAGGAAACUAGAGCCAGGAGGGGAAGCGGAAGAAAGGACCUCCUACCAGGUCCCACCCACUACCUCCAUCUCUCACCCCAUAGCAUGAAUACCUGAGAAUCAAGGGUGCAAAUUAGGCAUAUCCAAGCAUAUCCGAUUUUCUUUGACACUGCAACAGGACAGUGUUGUUCAAAAGUUCAAACUUCAGGCUGCAUAAUAUGUUACAAAAAAAAAAAAAAGUCACACACACAAAUACACACACGCGCGCACCACAGUCUCAUCAUAUUAUAAGCAAGUAUUAGGUUGGGAUGCAAACUAAAGUAUCCCAGAGCAUACAAGACCCAAGGGAUGUGCUGUAAGGUCUCGGACCUGUAUUUAUUCACCCAUGUUGACUCAACAGGAUCCACAACAGGCUAAUGGCAGAAGCAGCAAGUGGGCUUACACACUGAGUGGCCUGAGCAGAGUGCAGGGCAUUCUUUACCCUUAAGAAGGAAGAAACUUUUAGCGUUGGUCUCUAGUAUGCCGUCCAGAAGGAGGAAGAUCUUGAAACUGCAGGGUUGCAUGAACCACUAACAGCUUUGGCCCCUAUCAACCAGCAGCGGAAGCACAGCUGCUGGCUGCCUGCUCACUACAUGUUGGAUUUUAGCAAAGUCAUGGGGAGGCUUGACCACUAGGGGACAGCACUGAGCUCCUGGCUCAUAGGGGACCUUGGUCAGCCAGCCCAGAAACACAAUGGCCACCAUAGCCAGGAAGGCUUGUCCUCCCAGCUGAACAGUGAGAGUCCUCAGCAAAAGAGCCCAGGAAACAAGGAAGGUGUUGGGAAAACCUGUGUCCUCGUGCUUUAGAGGGGUUCAGGAUUUUAUAGAAGCCCACAGUUGAGAGGCGUUAGACUUUUAAAGAGACAGCAGACUUUUACAUAGAACUUAGACCCUUAAAGUGCUAAAUAAAUAAAUAAAUAAAUAAAACAAAACAAAAAAUAAAACAAAAAAAUUAAGACUGUGGGGCUUUUAAAGUUAUACUAUGUUUUGUAUUGUGGUAUUAAUCAUUACAUUACAUUACAUCUUGGAGACAAACAAGAAAGGAAAAAAAAGGCUUAUUAAUGUUGUGUUUAUGUAUCAAGUUGACAAGGGGUUAAUUUUGCUGGUCAAUUUUUUUGUCACCUUAACACAAGCUUGGAUUAGCUNNNNNNNNNNNGGGGGCGGGGGAAGGGGAUAUCAAUUGAGAAAUUUCCUCCAUUAGAAUGGGCUGUAGGCCUGCCUGCCAGGGUACUUUCUCGAUUGGUAAUAAAUGGGAUGGCAGCGGGGUAGACUAGCAUAUUGGGUAAGGUUUUACCCCAGGGCUGCUGAUCAUGGAAAGUAUAAGAAAGCACACUGAGAAGAAAGUCGUGUGCAGCGAGAUUGAAAGCAGCAUUCUGCCAGGGCCUCCUUUCUCCUGAGUUCCUGCCUCACUGUUCCUGCCCUCAGUUCCCUCAGUGAUGGAGUGUGAUUAAGACAUGUAAGCAAAUGAACCCUUUCCUGCCCCAACUUGUAUUUGGUCCUGGUGUUUUAUCUGCCCUAUAGAAAGCAAACUAAGUCAAGGAAGGUUCAGGAAAUGACAACAAAUAUUUUCAAAAGGAGGGAAAGAGGAGGAGGAGGAAGAGAAGGAAAUAGAGAUUCCAGAGUGGCCACAGCAGCAAUGGGGGAGAAAGAAAAUGCGGUAGAUGAAAGAGGUCACAUGUCGCUAAGCGAAUAGGGCUGACGCCAGAGCACAAAUCCGCGGGUCCGGUUGUGUGCAGGUUGUGGAGCAGCGGGGAUGUGGGAGUGCAGAUGUCUUUGGUUGGGUGUUCUCUGUGAGCCCACACAGUGAGGCCUGAAGUUGAUGUCAAAAACAUCACCAGGCAGAAGAGAGAGAGAGUGCAGAGCAGCCAGAGAAAAGUGUGGCUCUGUGCCUGUGAACGUCUGUGCAGAAUUGAAACUUUCAGUUCAGUUCAUUGAAAUUCAAGGCGUUUCAGAGAAUUUCAGGGCAGGUAAAUUGAUAAGGUUGGACGCUGAGAAUUAAAUCUGAAUUAAAGUUUUAUCAGUGAGGAAUAGAUUCUUUUUUGUUUGUUUGUUUUCGUUUUUUGUUUUGUUUAACAUAGUGUUUUUUUGUACUUAGCGGUAGUCAGUGUGCCCCGCUAUGGUAUCAGAUAAAAAAAGAAAAGGUGAACUGUGAACCAGCUCUCUCAGGGCCUUAGCCUUUAAAGGCUGAGCCAUCCCUCCGGCCCCGCCCCGCUUCCUAUUCUUUCUCUUAAGUAGCGACCUGGGCGUUGCGCAACCACUUCUCUGUUGAGUGCAUUCUUGUUCUCAAUACUAAACAACUCUCAUUUGUUUUCCUUGUGCACAAAACCAAAC
ensembl:lincRNA